AUGCGAUAAGUAAUGUGAAUUGCAGAAUUCAGUGAAUCAUCGAAUCUUUGAACGCACCUUGCGCUCCUUGGUAUUCCGAGGAGCAUGCCUGUUUGAGUGUCAUUAAAUUAUCAACCUUUCUUGGAUUUUCUUAAUCUUAGAGAAUGUUGGACUUGGGGGUUUGCGAGUGCUCUUGAGCACUAGCUCCUCUUAAAUGUAUUAGCUGGAACGUCUCCUCAGACUGUCCCAUGGUGUGAUAAUUAUCUGCGCCAUAGUUCAGACUGACUUGUGUAGGGACUUUGCUUAUAACUGUCCUCUGGACAAAGGCACCUGUGUCUUUCUUUGACAACUUGACCUCAAAUCAGGUAGGACUACCCGCUGAACUUAA
rnacentral:misc_RNA from 1 species